AUAUGAUGUCACAAUUUAUUAUACACUUUAAUCAGAAGAAAAAAUAUUUGUAAUAUCUUCAUUAUAAUUACAAAGAACAAAUGUAACAAGAAGGAAUCCUGUCACACACAAUUGGCCUCGGCGGCAGGGGGCGCCUCGCAGCCGUAUUACCGCUCACCCCACUCGCCCCACUGGUUCCGCUGGUCCCAGCAGUGGGGUAUACUCUGCUCCAGUCCGUGGUCAUGGUGGCUCGGCUCUCGCAGGAGAAUCUCAAGAAGUGGGCCCUCAGACCACACUCUCAUGAAGAAGUAGCGGCGCAACAAACUUCACCGCAGCAGCAAGUGUAUAUUCAGUCCAUUCGCGCCGGCGUACGUCGUGUGGAGACAGCAUAGUGUUCCACUC